GACGAACGCUGGCGGCGUGCUUAACACAUGCAAGUCGAACGGAAAGGCCCUGCUUGGGGGGUAUGCUCGAGUGGCGAAGGGGUGAGUAACGCGUGAGAAACCUGCCCGAGACUGUGGUAAAACUUCAGGAAACUGGGGCUAAUACGGGAUAGGAGCCUCCGCUGCAGGGUGGGGGGGGGAAAGUUUGGGGGGUUGGGGAUGGACGCGCGGCUUAUCAGCUUGUUGGGGGGGGAGUGGUUUACCAAGGCUUUGAGGGGUCGCCGGCCUGAGAGGGUGACCGGCACCAUUGGGAUUGGGAUCCGGCCCAGCCUCCUACGGGGGGCAGCAGUGGGAAUUAUGCCCCAAUGGGCGAAAGCCGGAUCCAGCACCGCCGCGUGCGGGAUGACGGCCUUCGGUUUGUAACCCGCUUUCGUCUUUGACGAAGCGUGAGUGACGGUAAUGGGUAAAGAAGCACCGGCUAACUACGUG
rnacentral:rRNA from 1 species